rnacentral:rRNA from 1 species
AUUGAACGCUGGCGGCAGGCUUAACACAUGCAAGUCGAGCGAGCGGCGGACGGGUGAGUAAUGUCUGGGAAACUGCCUGAUGGAGGGGGAUAACUACUGGAAACGGUAGCUAAUACCGCAUACCAUCAGAUGUGCCCAGAUGGGAUUAGGUUGUAGGUGGGGUAAUGGCUCACCAAGGCGACGACCCCUAGCUGGUCUGAGAGGAUGACCAGCCACACUGGAACGGAGACACGGUCCAGACUCCUCCGGGUGGCAGCAGUGGGGAUUAUGGGACAAUGGGCGCAGGCCUGCUGCAGCCAUGCCGCGUGUGUGAGGAGGGCCUUCGGGUUGUAAAGCACUUUCAGCGAGGAGGCGUUAAUCGCAGAGGAAGCACCGGCUAACUCCGUGCCAGCAGCCGCGGUAAUAC